UUCUUCAUGAAUUGUGAGUUGUGUGUCUCCUGUCUCUCCCUAUAGUCUCUCUUCUGUGUAAGCUUCCUCUCUCUCUCUUUUAAGUGUACUAUUUCUUUGAUUCUUUCCCUAUUUGACUCCUUUAGUUACUAAGAAAAAAGAGUUAUUUUUUUUUGUUAUGUUUAAACUUUGAACUGUUCCAGAAUUCAAAGUUUAUUUUCAUGAAUGAUUUGACUCACUUGAAAGGCUGAAGCAUCCAAAUUUAAACUUUUUUUAAUUCUACCAUCGUUCGUCGCUUACUCGCCUACUUCCUUGGAUCUUUGGCAAUCAAUAUGUUUGUUAUUUUUCCUUUCUUUUUUUAGUUUUUUUAGUCGAUUUUUGAUUGUUUGUUGGGUGAUGGAUGUUGGGAUCUGAAAUGGCCUAAUGGUAAUGGAUGUUGGCAGUAUUUGAAAUGGCAAUGAUUGAUAUGUUUGAUGUUAGUUUAAUUAUAAAGUUUUUUUACUGUACAGGUGUACGGUACAACUAAAAAUACCGGAAUAGGGUGGCAUUCAACUAAAUUAAGGGAAGAGGGUAAAUUGAGCUGAUGUGGGCAGACCGGUAAUAAAAACGCCAUUCAAAAUAACGUCCCUAUGCUAGGAUGCCAAUAUAAAUGGCUUCCAGAGGUUCUGCCACAGAUUCUCUACCAUUGUCUACACUCGGUCACGUAAGAGAGAAAUGAAAUGCUGCAGGAACGUGGAUGAAAAUGGUGUGCAUAGCUCUGUUAAUGGUGGACGUGGUGGAGCAGCUUCUGGUGGACCAACAAAGAAGGGAGGACGGCACUUAUGGACCAGCAGAAAAGGUUGGGGCAAAAUAGUGUGGCUUGAAAAAGGGUUUUAGUACAAAGUUUGAAAGUUAAUUACUCUCAAAAAAAGGUCCAUAUUUUGAACAUAAUAAACAUGUAAUAUGUGAAUAUUUUUAUAUAUUUUACUUGUUUGACAAAAUGAAAAUGAUUUAUGUUAAAA